rnacentral:rRNA from 1 species
ACCUGGUUGAUUCUGCCAGUAGUCAUAUGCUUGUCUCAAAGAUUAAGCCAUGCAUGUCUAAGUAUAAGCAAUUAUACGGCGAAACUGCGAAUGGCUCAUUAUAUAAGUUAUCGUUUAUUUGAUAGUAUCAUAUAGCCUUCAUCCAUUCUCAAACUUUAAAUAUGUAAGAAGCCCUUGUUACUUGACUGAACGUGGGCAUUCGAAUGUAUCAGCACUAGUGGGCCAUUUUUGGUAAGCAGAACUGGCGAUGCGGGAUGAACCGAACGCGAGGUUAAGGUGCCAGAGUAGACGCUCAUCAGACACCACAAAAGGUGUUAGGGGCAUCAGUAUUCAAUUGUCAGAGGUGAAAUUCUUGGAUUUAUUGAAGACUAACUACUGCGAAAGCAUUUGCCAAGGAUGUUUUCAUUAAUCAGGAACGAAAGUUAGGGGAUCGAAGACGAUCAGAUACCGUCGUAGUCUUAACCAUAAACUAUGCCGACUAGGGAUCGGACGAUGUUAUUUUUUGACUCGUUCGGCACCUUACGAGAAAUCAAAGUGCUUGGGCUCCAGGGGGAGUAUGGUCGCAAGGCUGAAACUUAAAGAAAUUGACGGAAGGGCACCACCAGGGGUAA